CUCCAUUUUGUUGGGGUAGUCUAAUAUUUUAAACUGGCAGAGGACAAAGCAAAGCCACUAAAAAUGUACACAAAGUGAUAGCUACAAUUUGAUGGGCAGGCAGUUUGUGCACAGCACUACACAUGAACUGAAACCAGAUUGAUGAGGGAAGCAUUUGGGACCUGACAGAGGAACUGCUGUGCGACUAUGCCUUCCUGCUCCUUACCUGCUGUGUUGCUGCUCAGCUAAUGCCACAUAAAAGCUGAACUCUGAUCUCCACCCAUCGCGGGGGUCACAUGACCGUGAGAUACUUUUACCUGGAAGGACGGUACUUCUCCAUUCCCAGGAGAUAGGGCUUUCCAUGGUGAAGGCACACUAGCAUUCAAAGAGAAGCGGUAGAGGGUGAUGGCUGCACCUACAUCCAGCUUGGACACAUACACUUGCUGCAGUACCCGCUGUAGGCCUGCACUGACCACUCCAGUUCCACCCUGCCCAGAGAGAGGAGGAGGUGUCUCCACUGCCAGAGCCAGCAAGGGGGCAUCAUUAUCAGGACUACAAGAACCUGAGAGGAAAAGACAGAAUGA